rnacentral:rRNA from 1 species
AUUGAACGCUGGCGGCAGGCCUAACACAUACAAGUCGAACGAGUGGCGGACGGGUGAGUAAUGUCUGGGAAACUGCCCGAUGGAGGGGGAUCACUACUGGAAACGGUAGCUAAUACCGCAUACCAUCGGAUGUGCCCAGAUGGGUUUGGCUAGUAGGUGGGGUAACGGCUCACCUAGGCGAAGAUCCCUAGCUGGUCUGAGAGGAUGACCAGCCACACGGGAACUGAGACACGGGCCAGACUACUACGGGAGGCAGCAGUGGGGAAUAGUGCACAAUGGGCGCAAGCCUGAUGCAGCCAUGCCGCGUGUAUGAAGAAGGCCUUCGGGUUGUAAAGUACUUUCAGCGGGGAGGCGUUACUCACAGAAGAAGCACCGGCUAACUCCGUGCCAGCAGCCGCGGUAAUAC